CUACGCACUAGCUGCUUAAUAACCAGUGAAUGCCGUUCGACCAGAGCCGUGCUUGUGCGUCUGGUAUCGGGCGUCGACUCUCACAAGACCGUCUUGACGUAUGCUUGGUACUGAUAGACUAAAACUUAACAAGAUCGCUUCUAGUUUUCCCUGUUCAUCGGGUAGCUAGUAGUUAAAUUAAUAGAUGAAAUAAGCAUGUAGAGCUGAAGGCAGAGGAUUUGCGGACGCGGGUUCGAUUCCCGCCGCCUCCACCA
rnacentral:tmRNA from 1 species